UGUAAAUCAUUAAGUUACUGUACAAUUACAGGCACAGUUAUUUCGACAUGUUGGCGACCCUGGAGAAAUUGGACGGGCAUGCUUGUACCUGGCGACUGAUGCAACAUUUACUGCUGGAGAUCGUAGUCAUAGUACAGAAACUGCUGCAGUUGGUCCUAGCAUUGUACAUGUUGAAGGUAAUAUGUGCAGAAAACACGAUAUGGAGGGGCCCAUGCAGAAAGCAACUAACAGAUCAUGGGACAAAGUGUAUGUGGUUAUACACGGACCUUCUCUUUCCUGUUAUAAGGACCAGAAACAUGCUAAACAGGACCCAAGUUCUCGCAUUCACCACGAGGCCGCCUUGGACCUGUCUGGUGCCGAGUGCGAGCGUGCUACGGACUACAAAAAGAUGCCAAACGUGUUCCGACUCCGACUUGCCAGUGGAGGAGAGUAUCUCUUCAUAGCAAAAGAUCAGUGGCGGCGUGCAGAACCACAUUAAAGCAGGCAUACUCGUACCAUUUUAAUUUGAUCGCAAAUACUGCAGUGAAUGCAAUGGAACUGUUUAUUUGAUGUCACUGCCUCUGAGAAAACAUUGUCAAAGAAACACAUUUUUCAUGUACAUUAUGCAGUAAUGUACUUCCAGCCCCAGGAAAAUGUAACUAAUGAAAGUUUUACAUUUGAAUUUCGUUGAGAGCCUGAAAUGGAACUGUGGAUUAACGUUAUAAACAGCACGUGUUCAAAGGGCGGGACAGCCCCUAUGUGAUCCCAGACCAUGCCAGUCAGAUCAGAAAACUCAAAAGACACAACAAAGAAACUAACAUUUCUAACAUUUUGAAAAUAUAGACAUUAAUCAAAUUAUUGAUAGAGCACUUUUUUUAUUCGAUAAAAGAUUUUACGUCUCAUACUUUCGGAAAAAAAAACGUGUUUGCCUUUUUACGAUGUCCAUCUAAUGUAUGUAGUGAAACGCCAUACAUGGUGCAUUAAAUACAUCGUUAAUGGGUUCCAAAUUCACGUGAAAAGUAGUGGUAUCUGUAUGAUACAACAAAUAAAAAAACUUCCAAAUAUGGAAAGAAGGGAAAAGUGAGAUUAUUUAAAGGUAUACCGGACCCAAUUUUCAUAUUUGAAAACAUCAACAAAAAUUACAUAUAUAUGUAAACUUGAAAUUAACAAGUUUACAUGUGUGGCUGAACCUGUAUGAAUGUGUAGUACCACUAAAAACUGUAAGAAUGGACUGUUGCUGCACGACAUUAAAUUAUAUGUAUAGCUCUAUAUACCCAAUUAUUUUAUAUAUUAAGUAAAGUUAAGUUGAUGAGGAUUUUCUACAUUUGAAGUAAAUAUCUAAAUAUAACAGAUUUUCAUGAAAGAUAGCUAUUGGAUAUCUUUAAACAGUACGAUUAUAGAAGUGAAAGUUAAUGUUAUAUUAUUUAAUAUUGUUCUGUACAAUGCACAGAUAUAUUUGGACAAGUACUCACGGAAAGUAAUAUAAUUAACAACUCAGAUAACAUUACUGUUAUUUCAGGAAGGUUCUGUCAACACUCACAGAGUAAUGAAGACAUUUUUCUUCAAAUCUGGGAAAUCUCUGUCAUCAAAACCAAGCUUGCUCCAAACAGUCCAGGACAUAUUUAGUUCUGGCUACUGUACCUUAACUUGCACAUAUUUUUGUAUACAUAAGUCCCAUUACAGUAAGUCGAAUUGAAGUUAGCUAUGUAACAAUAUAUUAAAUUCUUCAACUGAAUUCAUUUAUAAAAAAGACAUACUUUUGUAUGCUGAAAAACAGUAAUAGCUGGGAUAUAUCGACAAAACAAACCAAACAAUUAGCGAUAGGUUGGGAUGUUUCAAUGCGGGUUUAGUAAAUCAAUUUUUUGUUAAACUGGGACUUAUACAGUUUAUAGGUAAAAAGGACUGCGAAUUUGCUCUCUUUUGAAUAUCUUUUUACCUAGAGUCUAUUCUUUCUAAAAUAUUAAGUUUAUACGUCUGCAAGGACACUGCUUACCAGUGGCUUGUCGCAUUUAUAUGCUUUUGUUUUUACAAUCUACGAAGAAAUAAAGAUAAAUAACAGGU